GUCCUCAUAGCUCAACGGAUAGAGCAUAGGUUUCCUAAACCUACGAUGGUGGUUCAAUUCCGCCUGGGGAUACAA
rnacentral:tRNA from 1 species